rnacentral:lncRNA from 1 species
GCAGAACAGGUGGAGAAGUAUGAAGAACGAGGAACACUGCCAGGGGAGUUUCUUCCUCUGCAAAAUAAGGGAGUGUGUACUGAAUUACCUUUUCCAGCUCCAACAUCCAGGAUUUCAGCACUACCUGCACAGUAGUGGGGGGAGAGAUAGAGGAAGCAGGGAAGAUAGGAAAGCACUCUAAGCCGGUGGCUGGGCUUCCGUGGUGGCUGGGACAGCAGCAGUAGUGCUGUCCAUCUGCUCGUCCGAGGGGUGGCACAUCCUAGCCUCUAUCUUUUCCCUAGAGAAGAUCCCUUCGUCUGCUCUUCCCCCCCCCCCCCCCCCCCCCCCCCCCCCCCCCCCCGUCUCAGCCUCAGCCUUUUAGUGUGUGAACAGUUCUGGUGUGACUCAUCAGUGCUUUUGUUAGCGCCUUUACCAGCAAGUACUUGUUAAACACUUAAAUCUUACAAAUGGAAAGAAAAUUCCAUGAUAAAUUUAAGUAUAAAAGUCAACCAAAAUUCUGAGUCUCGGACAAGACUGGUUAAAAAUCGUUCUACAAUGAAACUAAUAUAUUAAAUUCAAUCAUAUAAAACUUUU